rnacentral:rRNA from 1 species
GAUCCUGGCUCAGGAUGAACGCUGGCAGUGUGCCUGGGGCAUGCAAGUCGAACGAAAAGCCUCAUAGAAGCCUUCGGGUGGAAAUGAGAUCACUUUUAGUGGCGGACGGGUGAGUAACAGGUUGGAACCUGCCCUUAACUCAGGAAUAACCCUUUGAAAAGAGGGCUAAUACCGGAUAAUCUCGAAAGAGUAAAGAUUUAUCGGUUAAGGAGGGGCCUACCCACUAUCAGCUUGUUGGUAAGGUAAUGGCUAACCAAGGCUAUGACGGUUAGCUGGUCUGAGAGGAUGAUCAGCCACACUGGGACUGAGAUACGGCCCAGACUCCUACGGGAGGCAGCAGCUAGGAAUAUUUGGCAAUGGGGGAAACCCUGACCGAGCAACACUGCGUGCAGGAUUAAGGUUUUAGGAUCGUAAACUGCUUUUAUAUGGGAAGAACUUUGACGGUACCAUAUGAAUAAGUCACGGCUAAUCACGUGCCAGCAGCCGCGGUAAUACGUGAGUGGCAAGCGUUAUCCGGAAUCACUGGGCGUAAAGCGUCUGUAGGAGGACUAUUAAGUGAAAUGUUCCAGCUCUCGGCUCAACCGAGAGAUUGCAUUUCAUACUGGUAGUCUUGAAGAUAGUAGAGGUAUGUAGAAUUCAUGGUGUAGGGGUUAAAUCCGUAGAUAUCAUGAGGAAUACCAAAAGCGAAGGCAGCUUACUGGGCUAUUCUUGACUCUGAGAGACGAAAGCGUGGGGAGCGAACAGGAUUAGAUACCCUGGUAGUCCACGCCGUAAACGAUGGAUACUAGAUGUAUGCGGUAUCGAACCCGUAUGUGUCGUAGCUAACGCGUUAAGUAUCCCGCCUGAGGAGUACGAUCGCAAGAUUAAAACUCAAAGGAAUAGACGGGGGCCCACACAAGCGGUGGAUCAUGUUGUUUAAUUCGACGAUAAGCGAAGAACCUCACCCGGGUUUGCAAUGUAGCUGCACGCUCUAGAAAUAGAGAAGCCUUAGAGGGUGCUACACAGGCGCUGCAUGGUCGUCGUCAGUUCGUGUCGUGAGAUGUACGGUUAAGUCCGGUAACGAACGCAACCUCUAUCAUUAGUUGUACUUUUCUAAUGAGACUGCCGUGUUUAGCACGGAGGAAGGUGGAGAUGACGUCAGAUCAGCAUGGCUCUUACACCUGGGGCUACAAACGUGAUACAAUGGGGCAUACAAUGAGCAGCGACGCCGCGAGGCUGAGCAAAUCUCUUAAAGUGCUCCUAAGUUCGGAUUGGAGGCUGCAACUCGCCUCCAUGAAGUUGGAAUCGCUAGUAAUCGUGGAUCAGAAUGCCACGGUGAAUACGUUCCUGGGCCUUGUACUCACCGCCUGUCAAGUCAUGGAAGUUGGGGGUGCCAGAAGCAAUCUUAGCUAACCUUCGGGAAGCGGAUUACCAAGGUAAAACCAGCAACUGGGACUAAGUCAGAACAAGGUA